rnacentral:snoRNA from 1 species
CUUUCCUUGAAAAGCUGAACAAAAUGAGUGAGAACUCACCA